CGUAACAGCUCACUGGUCUAAUUUAAGUUAUCCUGCGGCGAAGAUGUACCGGGGCUCAAGCCAUGAGCCGAAGCUAGGGAUGCAAUUUAUUGCAUGGUAGCGGAGCGUUCUGUGAUAUAGAACGCUGCGUCUUUAGUAUCUUAGGAUAUUUUGGACGCAAUGUUCUGACUGUGAAGCCGGCGCGUAAGCGAUCCGGUGGAGUGAUCAGAAGUGAGAAUGUUGACAUGAGUAGCGACAAACAGGGUGAGAGACCCUGUCGCCGAAAGUCCAAGGGUUCCUGCUUAAAGCUAAUCUGAGCAGGGUAAGCCGACCCCUAAGGCGAGGCCGAAAGGCGUAGUCGAUGGGAACCAGUUUAAUAUUACUGGGCCAGGAGAUGGUGACGGAUCGAAAGCGUAGUGACUCCUUAUCGGAUUGAAGUUGCUGCCGGACGGUUCCUGGAAAUAGCCCUCCAUUAGAUCGUACCCUAAACCAACACAGGUGGACUGGUAGAGAAUACCAAGGCGCUUGAGAGAACUACAUUGAAGGAACUCGGCAAAAUGCCUCCGUAAGUUCGCGAGAAGGAGGCCCCAUCAGAAGGCAACUUUUGGUGGGGGGCACAGACCAGGGGGUGGCGACUGUUUACUAAAAACACAGGGCUCUGCGAAGUCGUAAGACGACGUAUAGGGUCUGACGCCUGCCCGGUGCUGGAAGGUUAAGAGGAGGUGUGCAAGCACUGAAUUGAAGCCCCAGUAAACGGCGGCCGUAACUAUAACGGUCCUAAGGUAGCGAAAUUCCUUGUCGGGUAAGUUCCGACCUGCACGAAUGGCGUAACGACUUCCCCGCUGUCUCCAAUGUAGACUCAGCGAAAUUGAAUUGCCUGUUAAGAUGCAGGCUUCCCGCGGUUAGACGGAAAGACCCCGUGCACCUUUACUACAGCUUCACACUGGCAUUAGGUCAGACGUGUGCAGGAUAGGUGGUAGGCUUUGAAACUCGGACGCCAGUUCGGGUGGAGCCUCCCUUGAGAUACCACCCCUGUCUGUCUUGAUGUCUAACCGCGGUCCGUUAUCCGGAUCCGGGACCCUGUGUGGCGGGUAGUUUGACUGGGGCGGUCGCCUCCUAAAGAGUAACGGAGGCGCGCGAUGGUUGGCUCAGACCGGUCGGAAAUCGGUCGUCGAGUGCAAUGGCAUAAGCCAGCCUGACUGUGAGUCUGACAAGACGAGCAGAGACGAAAGUCGGUCAUAGUGAUCCGGUGGUCCCGAGUGGAAGGGCCAUCGCUCAACGGAUAAAAGGUACGCCGGGGAUAACAGGCUGAUACUGCCCAAGAGUCCAUAUCGACGGCAGUGUUUGGCACCUCGAUGUCGGCUCAUCUCAUCCUGGGGCUGGAGCAGGUCCCAAGGGUAUGGCUGUUCGCCAUUUAAAGAGGUACGUGAGCUGGGUUUAGAACGUCGUGAGACAGUUCGGUCCCUAUCUGCCGUGGGUGUAGGAGACUUGAUGGGAGUUGCCCCUAGUACGAGAGGACCGGGGUGAACGAUCCACUGGUGGAUCUGUUGUUGCGCCAGCAGCAGUGCAGAGUAGCUAUGAUCGGACAGGAUAACCGCUGAAGGCAUCUAAGCGGGAAGCCCCCCCAGAAACAAGGUCUCCCUUGAGGGCCGUGGAAGACCACCACGUCGAUAGGUCGGAGAUGUAAGUGCUGUAAAGCAUUCAGUUGACCGAUACUAAUUGCCCGAUAGGCUUGAUUUG
rnacentral:rRNA from 1 species